rnacentral:pre_miRNA from 1 species
AGGAGGAACAGCCCCAGUGGCGGGGCCAGCUCUGGAGCCCUGGAGUCAGCCCACGCAGUAGCUCCAGAGCUCUCGGUCUGCAGGGCCUGGAGGCUCUGGGGCGGG